CUCAUCAGCUGGUUUACAGCACAAUUUGAAAGACAUAAGCUAAAAAGAGUCAUCCAAAUGAGUGCAAGAUAUAUAUAUAUAUAUAUAUAUAUUUUAGAUGGGUUAAAAACUCAAAGUUGAUUAAAAAAUUUCAUCCAAAUCGAAACUAGAAAAUGGCCCAAAAGGGAUUUGCUUGAUAGAGAGACUUACAGAUGAAACUCAAAAUGCUUAAUAAGGCCGGUGUGACAGCUGGGAAGGGAGCUCCCAAGUAAUUUAUAUAAAUUUUCAAUUGUGUGAUUUUCAUUGUGAAAUUACUCAUAAUCUUUCUUCCAAAGUAGUGGGAUUGACCCACAAUUGUGUGUGUUUUGUUAUUCUUGUUCUCUAAUCAAAAUAAAAGCACAAUCACAUAGAUUUUUGAAGAAAACGUGUAAGGUUGAUUUUGUGUGAUCACAUUCUGUAGUCUAAACCUUUUCUUCGAAUGUUACAAUAUUGAUCAAUAUUGUGUGUUCUGUUACUUCCUUGCAAGCCACCAAAAUAGUUUAAAUUUUCGAAGUAAAAUUGUAGCUCUUCAGCCAAGCUUGUUACACAAGUUCUGCAAAAAUCUUAAGAGGUGUAGAGUGUUUCAUUGCGUUUGUGCAAAUUAAUCUGCGUUUUGUCAACGAAACAGAAGAGGUAUGACAAUUCUUCAAUUUCUGUUUUCCAGUGUUUGCUUCAUUGAACAUUUUUUUUUUUUUUAGAUAUCUGUUUAUGAGGUUGGUUAGUGCCUAUAUUGACUUUAAUUUCUUCUUGUUGAAUUUAACUGUUCAUGAGUUUCUGUUUGGGGAUGAACUUCUUUUUUGACAUUAGUUAUAAUCCCUGCCCACCAAAUGUUUGAUUCUAUGUUCCAGUGAGAAAUUUAUCACUGUUCAUGGGUUUGUGUUUUGGGAUGAAGUUCUUCUUUUUUGACAUUUUUUAUAAUUCCUGCUCACCAAGUGUUUGAUUCUAUGUUCAAGUAAGAAAUUUAUUGGAAACCAGACAAUCUGGUAUGUGAGUUUGCCCUUGGAUUUGUUCAAUUUCUUACAGUUCGUUUGAGUGUUGUAUCUUCCUCUAUUCUGCAGUUUGCAUUUGGGUUGAACUCUGUAUGCUUUUUUUCUUUCACAGAUCAGCUGCGAAUCCAAACAAUCUGGAAAACACCAAACUGGUUUUUACAUUACCAUGUGACAAAAGUGAUACCUGCGAAAGGCUUAAAAUGUAAGAACCUUCCGUACUAAAGUCGGAAUUUUGUUGCUCUCUCAUGUUCCAAAGUAAGUUAUAAUAUCAUAAGUUCAGUUGGGUUCUAACAACUUUUGUGAAUCUUUCCAUAUCUCAUAUUCCCUCUUUAGAUGAGAUGAGUCCAUUGUGUCUUUUGAAAGCAUUUGAAUAUUUGUAAAAUUGUUCUUAAUUUGUUUAAGAUUAUGACAUAUCAGAAAUUUCAAAAACUUGAUGUCAUUCUAAAUAUUGCACCUUUGAGUCUCUAUGUCUCUCUUAAAGUAA